UACGGGGGGAGCAAGCGUUGUUCGGAUUUACUGGGCGUAAAGGGCGCGUAGGCGGUCGUGACAGGUCACUUGUGAAAUCUCCGGGCUUAACUCGGAACGGUCAAGUGAUACUGUCGGACUAGAGUACAGAAGGGGCAACUGGAAUUCUCGGUGUAGCGGUGAAAUGCGUAGAUAUCGGAAGGAACACCAGUGGCGAAAGCGGCUUCCUGGUCCAGCACCGACGUUCAGGCACGAAAGCGUGGGGAGCAAACAGG
rnacentral:rRNA from 1 species